UGAAUUGACGGGGAGCACCACGAACGGGUGGAGCUUGCGGUUUAAUUGGAUUCAACGCCGGAAAUCUUACCGGGACCGACAGCAAUAUGAAGGCCAGGCUGAAGACUUUGCCGGAUUAGCUGAGAGGUGGUGCAUGGCCGUCGUCAGUUCGUACUGUGAAGCAUCCUGUUAAGUCAGGCAACGAGCGAGACCCACGCCCACAGUUGCCAGCGUACUCUCUGGAGUGACGGGUACACUGUGGGGACCGCCGCUGCUAAAGCGGAGGAAGGAAUGGGCAACGGUAGGUCAGUAUGCCCCGAAUAUCCCGGGCUACACGCGAGCUACAAUGGUUGGUACAAUGGGUAUCUACCCCGAAAGGGGACGGGAAUCUCCUAAAACCAAUCUUAGUUCGGAUUGAGGGCUGCAACUCGCCCUCAUGAAGCUGGAAUCCGUAGUAAUCGCGUUUCAACAGAACGCGGUGAAUACGUCCCUGCUCCUU
rnacentral:rRNA from 1 species